UUUAAAUGUAAAUUUUGAGAAUUAAAUUAGUAUUAGCUAUGAUCUUGAAAUUUAAAAAUUUUGGCGGUGUUUUAGUCUAUUCAGAGGAACCUGUUCUAUGAUCGAUAGUCCACGAUAAAAUUUACUUGAUUUAGAAAAUUUGUAUAUCGUCGUUGUAAAAUAUUUUAUAAGAAUUUAAAUAUUUAAUAUUUUUUUAAAAAAAAAUUACAGAUCAAGGUGCAGUUAAUGAUUAAGAAGAAAUGGGUUACAAUAAAUUUAUUUAUAUGGAUUAUAAUAUGAAAUAUUUAAUGAAGGUGGAUUUGAUAGUAAUAAAAUUUAUAUAGAUUUUAUGAUUUAGGCUCUAAAAUGUGU
rnacentral:rRNA from 1 species